rnacentral:rRNA from 1 species
UACGGAGGGUGCAAGCGUUAUCCGGAUUCACUGGGUUUAAAGGGUGCGUAGGUGGGCAGGUAAGUCAGUGGUGAAAUCUCCGGGCUUAACUCGGAAACUGCCAUUGAUACUAUCUGUCUUGAAUACCGUGGAGGUUAGCGGAAUAUGUCAUGUAGCGGUGAAAUGCUUAGAUAUGACAUAGAACACCAAUUGCGAAGGCAGCUGGCUACACGAAUAUUGACACUGAUGCACGAAAGCGUGGGGAUUAAACAGG